rnacentral:rRNA from 1 species
CCUACGGGAGGCAGCAGUGGGGAAUAUUGGACAAUGGGGGCAACCCUGAUCCAGCAAUUCUGUGUGCACGAAGAAGGUUUUCGGAUUGUAAAGUGCUUUCAGCAGGGAAGAAGAAAGUGACGGUACCUGCAGAAGAAGCGACGGCUAAAUACGUGCCAGCAGCCGCGGUAAUACGUAUGUCGCAAGCGUUAUCCGGAAUUAUUGGGCAUAAAGGGCAUCUAGGCGGCCCUGUAAGUCUAGGGUGAAAACCUGCGGCUCAACCGCAGGCCUGCCCCGGAAACUACAGGGCUAGAGUGCCGGAGAGGUGGACGGAACUGCACGAGUAGAGGUGAAAUUCGUAGAUAUGUGCAGGAAUGCCGAUGAUGAAGAUAGUUCACUGGACGGCAACUGACGCUGAAGUGCGAAAGCUAGGGGAGCGAACAGGAUUAGAUACCCGAGUAGUC